UUGGAACUGGACAGCAGAGGGGGAGAAAAAGUUAUGGCGGCAAAGCAUGAGUUUGCCUAAUGUGCACCACAAAGGCCGUGGAGAAUUUGAAGCAUGAGGCUGGCAUGGUAUGCAAAGACAUACUGACAGAAUAGUAGAUCCAGGAGUGAAAGAAACCCUGAAAGCCAUCAAUGUUCAUCUGCGGCAAAAUUCCUGAAAGCGAAAGACUCCCUGGAGCGCAUCUAACCAAGGAUGGGAAGCAUUUAUCGAGAAAUGACAUUUCCCCUGCCAUCAGCUGCCUUUGUGGAUGGCUCCAUCUGAGUUUCCUGGCAACAAUUUUAAAUAUGAAAGUGUCAAGCUCCGUGCUUAUGGAAGAUGACCUGCACCGGGGCCGAGCCUCUGCUGAGCCUGUGAUGAGCUGUUUGAGAGAGGGAUCAAUGGCUUGCAGGUUACCAGGCAGAGUAAUGAAAAGAACUGGGACGAAUGCAAGCAAAAGUCAGCUGGAGAAAUAAGGCUAUUGAGUGAGAAUGGCUACCAGGAGGGCAAAGCUGCAGGAAGCGGGGACAUGGGGCAGUAGGCAGUUACUGGUAGACACUGAGUGGGAAUGACCAGGCUUCUCUGAACAGUAAAGCCUUAUUAACUUUGAACCUUAGAUGAAAUGACUUUCUGUGGUCUUGCUGGCUCCCAAAAUCACUCUUGCCCCUGACAUGCAUUAAAGAUCAAAAUUCACAUGGCCUGAAAAGGCUUAGGCUUAUAACAUGCAACACAUUUCAAAUAUAAAA
rnacentral:lncRNA from 1 species